CAGGCCUAACACAUGCAAGUCGAGGGAGAUUGUUGGAUUCGUCUGACAUGAAACCGGCGCACGGGUGCGUAACACGUAUGCAACCUACCUUUAACUGGGGUAUAGCUCAGAGAAAUCUGAAUUAAUCCCCCAUAAGACUACGACAUGGCAUCAUGAUGUAGUUAAAGCUCCGGCGGUUAAGGAUGGGCAUGCGGUACAUUAGCUAGUUGGUGAGGUAAUGGCUCACCAAGGCUACGAUGUAUAGGGGGUCUGAGAGGAUGAUCCCCCACACUGGUACUGAGACACGGACCAGACUCCUACGGGAGGCAGCAGUAGGGAAUAUUGGUCAAUGGACGCAAGUCUGAACCAGCCAUGCCGCGUGAAGGAUGAAGGCCCUAUGGGUCGUAAACUUCUUUUAUUGGGGAAGAAAAAAUGGGAUGCGUCCUAUACUGACGGUACUUAAUGAAUAAGGAUCGGCUAACUUCGUGCCAGCAGCCGCGGUAAGAGGAAGGAUCCAAGCGUUGUCCGGAUUUACUGGGUUUAAAGGGUGCGUAGGCGGAAAAUUAAGUCAGUGGUGAAAGCCCGCAGCUCAACUGUGGAACUGCCAUUGAAACUGGUUUUCUUGAAUAUAGCUGAGGCAGAUGGAAUAUAACAUGUAGCGGUGAAAUGCUUAGAUAUGUUAUAGAACACCGAUUGCGAAGGCAGUCUGCUAAACUAUUAUUGACGCUGAGGCACGAAAGCGUGGGGAGCGAACAGGAUUAGAUACCCUGGGUAGUCCACGCCCUAAACGUUGAUUACUCGCUGUUGGCGAUAUACUGUCA
rnacentral:rRNA from 1 species